rnacentral:rRNA from 1 species
CCUACGGGGGGCAGCAGUAAGGAAUAUUGGUCAAUGGAGGCAACUCUGAACCAGCCAUGCCGCGUGGAGGAUGAAGGUCCUCUGGAUUGUAAACUUCUUUUAUAUGGGACGAAAAAAGGCUUUUCUAAGUCGUCUGACGGUACCAUAUGAAUAAGCACCGGCUAACUCCGUGCCAGCAGCCGCGGUAAUACGGAGGGUGCAGGCGUUAUCCGGAUUCAAGGGUGUGAAAGUGGGCGGAUAUGGGUUGGUUGAAAUCCCCGAGCUUAACUUGGGAACUGCCAUUGAUACUAUCAGUCUUGAAUACCGUGGAGGUCGGCGGAAUAUGUCAUGUAGCGGUGAAAUGCUUAGAUAUGACAUAGAACACCAAUUGCGAAGGCAGCUGGCUACGCGGAUAUUGACACUGAGGCACGAAAGCGUGGGGAGCAAACAGGAUUAGAUACCCCUGUAGUC